AAAGGAAUAUGAAGAUUAUGUGAUGGUUUAUAUUGUUUAUUAUAUAAACAAAUAAAAGAAACUAAUGUGAUCCUAAUUAUAUAUUAGGAAUGAAGAAUUUAAUAACUUAAGGGUUAUUAGAUGAGAAAAUUAUGGUAUUUAGAAUAUAUACCAAUUAUGAGAGAUUUAUUUUAUACAUCUCAGUUAAUUAAUUUUAUAAUCUAAUUUUAGCAAGUCUAAUUGGGUUAAGGAAAUAAAUGUGCAUGAGUAAGGAUUUAAGUUAUAAUUGAGGAAAAUGAAAACCCUAAUUAAAUGAUUUGGGUUGGAUAAGAAUUAAUAGUAUUGGACUAUGUUAAUUUACAUGGCCCAAAGAAUUAAAUUUUUAAGUCAAAUAUAUUAUUUAUUGAUUGCCCAAAAGAUGGAAAUGAUGGCCCAAAUUUAAGCCCAAAUAAGGAGGGACAUAUUGGACAUUUGGUAU
rnacentral:lncRNA from 1 species